AUUGAACGCUAGCGGGAUGCUUUACACAUGCAAGUCGAACGAGUUGCGGACGGGUGAGUAAUAUAUCGGAACGUGCCCAGUAGCGGGCGAUAACUACUCGUAAGAGUGGCUAAUACCGCAUCCUAUUGGAGCGGCCGAUAUCGGAUGAGCUAGUUGGUGGGGUAAAGGCUCGCCAAGGCAACAAUCCGUAGCUGGUUUGCGUGGACGACCAGCCACACGGGGACUGAGGCACGGCCCAGAGUCCUACGGGAGGAAGCAGUGGGGAAAUUUGGACAAUGGGGGAAACCCGGAUCCAGCCAUCCAGCGUGGAUGAGAAGGCCUUCGGGUUGUAAAGUAAUUUCAGUCGGGAGGCGUUACCGACAGAAGAAGCACCGGCUAACUCCGUGCCAGCAGCCGGGGUAAUAC
rnacentral:rRNA from 1 species